AGUAGCGUGGCUCAGUGGAAAGAGCACGGGCUUGGGAGUCAGAGGUCAUGGGUUCGAAUCCCGCCGCUGCCA
rnacentral:tRNA from 1 species